UGUGACCAUACCAAACUGUUGCCUCGGCGGGGUCACGCCCCGGGUGCGUCGCAGCCCCGGAACCAGGCGCCCGCCGGAGGGACCAACCAAACUCUUUCUGUAGUCCCCUCGCGGACGUUAUUUUUACAGCUCUGAGCAAAAAUUCAAAAUGAAUCAAAACUUUCAACAACGGAUCUCUUGGUUCUGGCAUCGAUGAAGAACGCAGCGAAAUGCGAUAAGUAAUGUGAAUUGCAGAAUUCAGUGAAUCAUCGAAUCUUUGAACGCACAUUGCGCCCGCCAGUAUUCUGGCGGGCAUGCCUGUCCGAGCGUCAUUUCAACCCUCGAACCCCUCCGGGGGGUCGGCGUUGGGGACUUCGGGAACCCCUAAGACGGGAUCCCGGCCCCGAAAUACAGUGGCGGUCUCGCCGCAGCCUCUCAUGCGCAGUAGUUUGCACAACUCGCACCGGGAGCGCGGCGCGUCCACGUCCGUAAAACACCCAACUUCUGAAAUGUUGACCUCGGAUCAGGUAGGAAUACCCGCUGAACUUAAGCAUAUCAAUAA
rnacentral:rRNA from 1 species